rnacentral:rRNA from 1 species
AGUGAACGCUGGCGGUGGGCCUAACACAUGCAAGUCGAACGGCAGCACAGUAAGAGCUUGCUCUUACGGGUGGCGAGUGGCGGACGGGUGAGGAAUACAUCGGAAUCUACUUUUUCGUGGGGGAUAACGUAGGGAAACUUACGCUAAUACCGCAUACGACCUACGGGUGAAAGCAGGGGAUCUUCGGACCUUGCGCGAUUGAAUGAGCCGAUGUCGGAUUAGCUAGUUGGCGGGGUAAAGGCCCACCAAGGCGACGAUCCGUAGCUGGUCUGAGAGGAUGAUCAGCCACACUGGAACUGAGACACGGUCCGGACUCCUACGGGAGGCAGCAGUGGGGAAUAUUGGACAAUGGGCGCAAGCCUGAUCCAGCCAUACCGCGUGGGUGAAGAAGGCCUUCGGGUUGUAAAGCCCUUUUGUUGGGAAAGAAAAGCAGCAGGUUAAUACCCCGCUGUUCUGACGGUACCCAAAGAAUAAGCACCGGCUAACUUCGUG